CCUACGGGAGGCAGCAGUGAGGAAUAUUGGUCAAUGGGCGCGAGCCUGAACCAGCCAAGUCGCGUGAGGGAAGACGGUCCUAUGGAUUGUAAACCUCUUUUGUCGGGGAGCAAAAGACGCCACGCGUGGCGUACCGAGAGUACCCGAAGAAAAAGCAUCGGCUAACUCCGUGCCAGCAGCCGCGGUAAUACGGAGGAUGCGAGCGGUAUCCGGAUUUAUUGGGGGUAAAGGGCGUGCAGCCGGAGAGACAAGUCAGAUGUGAAAUCCACGGGCUCAACCCGGGAACUGCAUUUGAAACUGUUUCCCUUGAUUGUCGGAGAGGUAAUCGGAAUUCCUUGUGUAGCGGUGAAAUGCGUAGAUAUAAGGAAGAACACCAGUGGCGAAGGCGGAUUACUGGACGAUAACUGACGGUGAGGCGCGAAAGCGUGGGGAGCAAACAGGAUUAGAUACCCCGGUAGUC
rnacentral:rRNA from 1 species